ACCACAAACACCAUGACCCUAAAGACGAACACAAUAGAGAGCCACACUCUGCCGAAGGCUGUGGAGUACUUGUUCACCCCGCUGAGGAGGCCCUGGAGGAAUGCCCAGUUCAUGACGAGGUUUGUUCACAGUCUGUCGUCUCUUCCUGCUGAUAGAAGACAGACAAGCUGUUUUCAGCUGAAAAGCCACAGGCGAACUUCAGAUUUCGGAGCGGAGGAGCAGUCGCUGGAUGAAGCUCGCCGAUGACAAUCUCAGUAGAUUUCUCAACGGAACGGGACGGGAGUGGAGAGGGGGUGGAGUUGUUUGCCUGCCAUUUCUUCUUUCCACUCAACCUGCUCAGGUGGAAGCUGAAUUAGUGAGGAUGACUCCUGCUCCUGUCAUCUCUAAGCUCCUCACACAUCUUUACCUGCACAUGAGGAAAAUCACUCCUGUAGAAUGCAGAUGUUCAGAGGGAGAUGAUGCCACAUCUGGUCCAGCUGAUGGAAGGUCUUGAAGUUCUCUGACUGGCCUCGACUGAAGAUGGUCGUCUCACUGGAUUUAAGGUUCAGAUGCUCAGUAACAAACUCCACCAAUGAGCCAACAGGGAAGCUUUAGGUUUAUUAAAUGUUGCUAUGAAGGUAUCGCUGUUUUUCUUUGUGAAUGCAAUGUGUUCCAACUGAAACUUGAAUUAGAACUUAGAAGUAAAUCCUUCCAUCUGAAAGGAUUUAGUUGCAUUAAUAACCUCAUAACAUUCUAAUUUUUAUUCCAGUCUUGGUUGGAAAUAGAAUCUCUGUAUUGAUUCAGGUAAAAACUGAACUUCACAGCAUGUUGAAGCAAAACAACCAGAUGAAAACUGUGAUGGUGUUGGAUUGUCAGACUGUAAUGUUGCAGCUCAAAGCAGCUUUUCUAGCUCAGUUCAGUUCAGUUGGAGCUGCUUUGCACUUUUUACACUGUUUAUUCACCAACACUUUAUUUAAUAAAAGUCCCAUCUAGUUUUUAUGAGGAAUGUGAUGUUUUAAUUUCUCUGUGAAUAACUGCAGUCUAAUGCAACAGCUGGAAUUGUAACAUCUGUCCUGAUAUUGAUCAUGAAGUAUUGAUCAGAAUACUUAUGGUUAGCAGUCAUCCCUGAAGUUUUACAUUAAAAUCUUUACUUGUGUUGUGAACUUUGGUAAGAAGCAGAAACGUUAGCGUUGCCAUGGAUACAUGAGUGUUAAAUUCUGUCCAUGUUUCCAUUUUGGGAAAUUCAGUCCAGUUCCAGAAUGUGGAGGAAUUUAGUCUCACAAUCACAGACAACAAAUAUUAUCUGAAAGUCGGGUUAUUGUUGUUUAUCAGCACAAUACAAAAAGAUUAAUGUUAGAAAUAUUCCAGUUCAGACUCUAGAAUAUCAUGAUUUAUGUAAAUUUACCUCAAUAAUAUGAAUGUUCAGGUUAAGAUUGUACAGUGAUAUUUAUUAUGCAAGUUUAGCUGAUUAAA
ensembl:lncRNA